UGCUGCCAUUAACUGUCAUUUAUUCGUCCAUGGCGAUGGUACGAGUAUAGGAUCCUUAGAAGUUGCAGGAUUUUAAUUUAGGUCAACGUGUCUUUCAUGCUUUAAUGGCUGGUAUUUGUAAUUGAAAUUCAAAUUAAAACACGAAGCAGUCACUAUCCUGGAAUUAUUCUAACCGUAAGUACCUUCAUAGUUCUAUCAUAGUGGGUAGGAAAUUGUGUUUCUAAUCCUAGAAUUUUUCUAUUUCUGGUUAGAUAAACAGUGUGUCUAACUAUAGAAUUUUGCUAUUUCCUAACUAGAAUUAACAUAAUUCUACAAUUAGAGACAUUUCCUACUAAAUAUAAGAAGAGCUAUGGAUGUACUUGCGGUCAGAACAAUAAAACAUAGCCAACGAUUUGCUUCGUGUUUUUUCUUUAUUUUGAAUUACUAAUACCAGCUAUCAAAGCAUCAAAGACAAGUUUAUCUAGGACAACAAGAAACUUUUUAGGAUCUUCUACUGCUUCUACCAUCGCCUUAGACGAAUAAAUGAGGGUUGGUGGCAACAACAAUCUUUCCAAU